UUUAUCUGAUGUCACAAAUAUGAGGAGGGGAUCUCCGUGGCAAGAUGAAGAACACUUGAUUAUUGGUAGGUUUAAAAGUCCAGUCUGUUUCAGAGAUGCCCCCAUGAAGGGCGUGAAACUGAAGGAAAUGAUUACAUGGGUAUGCAGAUGAUUCCUUAAUCGGUUUAAGUGUUCAGUUCCAUGAAGACUAAGGUGCAAGACCCAGAAAACAAAAGGAAAAUACAGGCAGAAGUAAUAGAGGCAGAAGAAAAAGCAAAGCAAAAAGGAAGCAGAGGCAAGGCCCAUACAACUAGAACAAAAUUAUUGAAAACUCUUCCCCAAGUGCUACAUAUUUAGUCAAAAGUCUGAAUUGUUAAUACAGUGGAACCCCAACUUAAGAACACAUGAAUUGAAGAGCAUUUUGAAUUAAGAGCUGAGGUGCAGCCUGGGUUUUGAUUUGCCAUAAGAACAGUGUUUUGAAUUAAGAGCUAGUGCCAGUGGGUGCGCUAAUGCCAGAGUACAGGGCUCAAGGGCUUCAAGGGAGAAGCCUCCAUGACUUGUGAUCCAUGCCUCAUGCCUCGUGCUCUUGUUCAUUUUGGGAGAUUGCUGUCCGCUUUGCUCUUGUCCACUUUGAGGAACCCUGGGUUAGUUGAUUUUUUGUGGUUUUAUUCCUGGUAUAUUUGGCUUCUCAAAAAGUGGGAGGGAGGGAGAGCAAGAGAGGGAGAGAGGCUGG